rnacentral:lncRNA from 1 species
UCUCAUCCCUAUUGAUCUUGAAAAGAUCCUGUUCGAUUUUAUCCGACCUCCUUACCUCUCACCUCACUACCACAUAGCCACUCCCUCUGCAACCUCUAUAGUCCUCAUCAUGGUUUCUAUGUUUUAUUUUUUUUCAAAAUAUCAUGAUACAACCAUUAAACUGAAGAGAGACACAUCAGUAGGUUUGCCAACAUAGACCACUUUCUCAUUAAAUGACCUUUUAAACCUAACCUAAAGAGAUAAUCAAAUCUAGCAUAUAUUUUUUUUAGUAUUGUAUAGGAUG